rnacentral:rRNA from 1 species
GAUGAACGCUGGCGGCGUGCCUAAUACAUGCAAGUCGAGCGAACAGACGAGGAGCUUGCUCCUUUGACGUUAGCGGCGGACGGGUGAGUAACACGUAGGUAACCUACCUAUAAGACUGGGAUAACUUCGGGAAACCGGAGCUAAUACCGGAUAAAAUUUCGAACCGCAUGGUUCGAUAGUGAAAGAUGGCUUUGCUAUCACUUAUAGAUGGACCUGCGCCGUAUUAGCUAGUUGGUAAGGUAACGGCUUACCAAGGCAACGAUACGUAGCCGACCUGAGAGGGUGAUCGGCCACACUGGAACUGAGACACGGUCCAGACUCCUACGGGAGGCAGCAGUAGGGAAUCUUCCGCAAUGGGCGAAAGCCUGACGGAGCAACGCCGCGUGAGUGAUGAAGGUCUUCGGAUCGUAAAACUCUGUUAUUAGGGAAGAACAAACGUGUAAGUAACUGUGCACGUCUUGACGGUACCUAAUCAGAAAGCCACGGCUAACUACGUG